ensembl:lncRNA
CACGGCGGUGAAAGAGGGCUGCGCAGAGGGGAGGAGACACACGGCUUUGAUUCCACCUUCUGCUCCACACAUGAGCUGGGAGCCCCAACAAACUGGCAAGGCCGCUGGGUCACCAGGGCUGCAGAGCGACACUGCAGAUGCCUUCGCUUCCCUUUGUACAGCCUGCUGGAAUAAUCCCAAAACCACAGAGACACUGCCACAGCGAUUGGAGGACCCGGCAAUUAAGCAUACGUUUAAAAUUCAGUAACAAGCCAGGCACAGCAGCGACAAACAAGCAAGCAGGACAGAGGCAGGGAGGACAGGCUGCAAGUGACCAGCUCGCCUGGCUCCCACCCUUCGCGGCCGCCCCCGCCCUCCCAAGCCCUGGCCAGCCUGAGCCCCUCCCCGAGCAGAGGAACCCCGGCGGCAUCAUCCCAUCGGAAAGGGCAGCUUCAAGUAGAAGGAAUUAAGAAUAAAAGCCCUUCGGUUUAGAAGACAUAAACCAUCUCAGUGUCAUUCCCACCACCGCAGGAGACCCUGGGGACGGUGGGGACCCUGGGGCGGGGGCAGGGCUGCCUGGGUGCGCCGCCCCCACCCCAGCCCCCGAUGCGGCCGAGCCAUUGUGUCCCUGCAUUGAGCCAGUGCUCAGGACGCCGGAUAAAUGGAUUAGGGGAUCAGAGACACCCGCGGCGUCUUCAGAAACCAAACAGCAGCCGCAGAAAGGGCUGCCCUUGCGCCCGCCUGAGGAGGCGGGCAGGAGGUGCUGGUGAGGGCGGGGAGCGGCAGCCCUGAGGCCCAGCAACCCCAGGGACCUCCCUUCCUGGGCUGCCAGCCGCCCGCCCCCCUGCUGCCAGCUCAGGCCCCCCUCCUCCUCUGACCUCCCGCUUAAGGCAGUUCCAGAAUAUUAGGCCACUCCUGGGGCCCUCUGGGUCCUCUGCCCCAGGGUGACUUGCAGGGCCCCUGGGCCUGCUCCUCUACAGAACAUGAGAUAAAUAAAGUGGUGUGAAGGCUGCUGGAUUUUAAAGAUGAAUCUAUGGAUCAUAUUUGUUGACACGUUUUCCUCCACCGAAAAAAGAAACACUUUUUAUUUGAAAAGGAAGUAAAAUACUUCUGGGGUCUCUAAAAGCACUGUGCAGCCAGGUUGGCCAGGCCCUCUGACCCCCGCACUCCCCCCAGGGGGGCCCGUGUUCAGA